rnacentral:rRNA from 1 species
AGCGAACGCUGGCGGCAGGCCUAACACAUGCAAGUCGAACGGCUCCAUCGUGAUUAGUGGCUGAUGGGUGAGUAACACGUCGGAACGUGCCCUUUGGCUCGGAACUAUUCAGUGACAUUUGAGCUAAUACCGGAUGUGUCCUUCGGGGGAAAGAUUUAUCGCCAUUGGAGCGGCACGCGUCUGAUUAGCUAGUUGGUGAGGUAACGGCCCACCAAGGCGACGAUCAGUAGCUGGUCUGAGAGGAUGAUCAGCCACACUGGGACUGAGACACGGCCCAGACUCCUACGGGAGGCAGCAGUGGGGAAUCUUGCGCAAUGGGCGAAAGCCUGACGCAGCCAUGCCGCGUGAAUGAUGAAGGUCUUAGGAUUGUAAAAUUCUUUCAGCGGGGACGAUAAUGACGGUACCCGCAGAAGAAGCUCCGGCUAACUUCGUG